AAAGAAACAAGAGGCUAGACAAGUGUUUAGUUUAGUGGCAGAAGUAGAUUUUGCAUAGACACAAGUGUACAUGUUAUCUGAGUGUACUAGAUAGAUUUGUUUGACAAAACAUGUGGGCUCUCCGUCUUUGAUCUCAUACACUAAAAAGGUAAAUUACAUUCUCUCUUUUGGUUUUCGUCUCAAACUGAAUAAGAGGAAUGAAGGUACUUACUCUUCACUAAUGAAGCAGGGGUUUGAGCAGGCUCAGGAGUAACAUAGGGAUUAGACUCAGUAGGCAUAGAAGUUGCAGCGCUGCCAUAUAUAGGCGCAUAUGGAGGAUUCGAUCCGACAUUAACCGGAGUCCAGGUCUCAGAUACCGGAGCGAAGUUGUUUGGAUUG
rnacentral:lncRNA from 1 species